UACGUAGGGGGCAAGCGUUGUCCGGAUUUAUUGGGCGUAAAGAGCGUGUAGGCGGCCUGACAGGUCUGCUGUGAAAACUCGAGGCUCAACCUCGAGAUGUCGGCGGAAACCGUCUGGCUAGAGUCCGGAAGAGGAGAGUGGAAUUCCUGGUGUAGCGGUGAAAUGCGUAGAUAUCGUAAGGAAGACCAGUGGCGAAGGCGGGUCUCUGGACAGUUCCUGACGCUGAGGCACGAAGGUCAGGGGAGCAAACGGG
rnacentral:rRNA from 1 species